GCUGGGAUAGCUCAGCAGGUAGAACAUGAGGCUCUUGAUUUCAGGGUUGUGGGUUUGAGCCCCAUGCUGGGCA